rnacentral:lncRNA from 1 species
CUCACAGCUGCCCUUCUUCUCUCUCUUAGAAGGAAGAGGAAGAGGGGGAAUCAAACACAGUAUUUUGGUUACCAUCAAACAGAAGUCUCCACAGAGAGGAGGCUAUCUUCAGAUUUUACACAGAGUUGUUAUAUAAGACACCUCCCUUUCAUUUCCAGAGAUGAUUUUUAAACUAUGACAAGCUGAUUUAAAGUUUGCAUGCUGUGGACAGGCUACUAUAUUUAAUGUAGUUAUGGGCCUUUGAUUUUAUAACUGUUUGUGUGAGAUUUACAUAAACUCUGGUGCUUAGAUUCUUCAUCUUUAGUAUGGCCUGUCUGACCAAGCACAAUGGAUACAAACAGGAAUGAAAUGGACAUGUGGAGCUCAGAGGACAGCAUUUUGACUCAGACAGUUUCAAACUGUGGAAAAUGAAAUCAAGAGCUGAAAUAUGAAUCUGGUGGUCUUAGAGAAAAACUAUCUGCAACUAAGGAAGCUAAUUUUAAAGAGAUGAAUUAUACCUUGAAUCUGUGAGGACAUUUUAUUAUGUUCAAGACAAUUUGAAAUAUGAUGAAGAUUUUCGAUUGAUUUUACAAUAUAUUUUGCCAUUCUUCU